rnacentral:rRNA from 1 species
AACGAACGCUGGCGGCAUGCCUAACACAUGCAAGUCGAACGAGACCUUCGGGUCUAGUGGCGCACGGGUGCGUAACGCGUGGGAACCUGCCCUUAGGUUCGGAAUAACAGUUAGAAAUGACUGCUAAUACCGGAUAAUGUCUUCGGACCAAAGAUUUAUCGCCUUUGGAUGGGCCCGCGUAAGAUUACGUAGUUGGUGGGGUAAUGGCCUACCAAGCCGACGAUCUUUAGCUGGUCUGAGAGGAUGAUCAGCCACACUGGGACUGAGACACGGACCAGACUCCUACGGGAGGCAGCAGUGGGGAAUAUUGGACACUGGGCGAAAGCCUGAUCCAGCAAUGCCGCGUGAGUGAUGAAGGCCUUAGGGUUGUAAAGCUCUUUUACCAGGGAUGAUAAUGACAGUACCCACAGAAGAAGCCCCGGCUAACUCCGUGCCAGCCGCCGCGGUAACAC